GCAAACCUGGAAACAAAGUGAACUACUAGAGAUUAAAAAUAGAACAAGAGGAGGCUAAAGAUAAUUUGAUCAGUUGUUACCAAUGUAUUAAAAAGCGCGCCUGAAGGCUUAGAAAGCACGAGGCGCUGUAGAAAAUGAGUGUGUUUUGCAGGUGAGGCGCAGAGGCGGGCAAGGCGGCGAUGCAGGUGGAAAAGGCGGCCAAAGCGCGCCUUAAGGCGUCUAAAGCGAACGCCUGAGAAUUUUUUUUUUUUUUUCAUCUUCACCAAAACGACGUCGUUUUGGUGGUUUUGAGAGUUAAAACUCCUUCAGGUCUCGAGCUGAAGUUAUUUUCGAUUCCUUCAGCCUCCUCCAUCAAAACUCCGACUCUUUCACUUCCAAAUCCCAAUUCUCAAGAAACAAAUUUGAUAAAAUCAUCAAGAGCCCAUGAGUUUUCUCAAGGAUUUGGCUCUAAAGGAGGCUUUUUUCGCACUUGGAGCAAGAGAUUUUCUCACUUGGAGAUUUGGAAUCGGAUUUGCAGCAAAGGAUUUAAGUAAUGUUCCUUGUAUGGCAGAUCGAACACCUUCAAGUAUAGUGAGGCUGGCUAGAGUACUAAUCACUGAUAAUUAGCUUCUGGGGCACAUGAUGUGGCUGCAUAGACAAGACUCCUAGCAGAAGUUUGAGGGAUCUCAGUGAAGCCAAUAACAAUGAUGCUGAUAAUCAGCUUUUAAGCUUUGAGCCAUUACCAUCAGAAUUGUAUGUAAA